UCCUCAGUAGACAAACUGGUAAAGUCGCCGGACUGUUAAUCCGGUGCCAAAAGGCUUUGUAGGUUCGAAGCCUACCUGGGGAGCCA
rnacentral:tRNA from 1 species